AAUAUUAUUAUAGAUAGAGAUAAACUGUAAACAGCAAUAAUGUUCAGCAAAGUUUGAUUUACAAAUAAGUCAACAUGACCAAAAUAGUCAAUUGACUCCUUAAGGAGUUAUUGCCGUUUAUAGUUAAUUUUUAGCAUUUUCAUAAAUUUUUGUAAAUUUUUAGAAAAUAUUUUCCACUGUAAUUACUGGGCCAAGUUCAUUAUAGAUAAAGAUAAUUGUAGCAACAAGAAUGUUCAGUAAAGUAAGAUCUACAAACACAUCACCAUCACCAAAACACAAUUAUAUCAUGAAUUUAUCUGUGUCCAUUGUUUAAUAUGCACAUAGACCAAGGUGAGCGACACAGGCUCUUGAGAGCCUCUAGUUUUUUUUUAUACA
rnacentral:lncRNA from 1 species